rnacentral:rRNA from 1 species
ACGGAAGGCAGCAGUGAGGGAUAUUGGACAAUGGCCGGAAGGCUGAUCCAGCCAUGCCGCGUGAAGGCAGACGGUCCUAUGGAUUGUAAACUUCUUUUGUACGGGAGCAAUAAGGUGGACGUGUCCAUCGAUGAGAGUACCGUACGAAUAAGCAUCGGCUAACUCCGUGCCAGCAGCCGCGGUAAUACGGAGGAUGCGAGCGUUAUCCGGAUUUAUUGGGUUUAAAGGGUGCGUAGGCGGGCUGGUAAGUCAGCGGUGAAACGCAGGUGCUCAACACCUGACCUGCCGUUGAUACUGCCGGUCCGGAAUGCGGAUGCUGUGGGAGGAAUGUGUGGUGUAGCGGUGAAAUGCAUAGAUAUCACACAGAACACCGAUUGCGAAGGCAUCUCACAAAUCCGCGAUUGACGCUGAGGCACGAAAGUGCGGGGAUCGAACAGGAUUAGAUACCCUGGUA